rnacentral:rRNA from 1 species
CCUACGGGUGGCUGCAGUCGAGAAUCAUUCACAAUUGGGGAAACCCUUAUGCAGCGACGCCGCGUGUGGGAAGACGGUCCUCUGUAUUGUAACCCACUGUCCCCAGGGACGACGAUGACGGUACCUUGGGAUGAAGCUCCGUCUAACUCCGUGCCAGCAGCCGCGGUAAUACGUAGGGAGCGAGCGUUGUCCGGAUUUACUGGGUGUAAAGGGAGCGUAGGCGGGACUGCAAGUUGGGUGUCAAAUCUACCGGCUCAACCGGUAGCCGCACUCAAAACUGCAGUUCUUGAGUGAAGUAGAGGCAGGCGGAAUUCCUAGUGUAGCGGUGAAAUGCGUAGAUAUUAGGAGGAACACCAGUGGCGAAGGCGGCCUGCUGGGCUUUUACUGACGCUGAGGCACGAAGGCCAGGGGAGCGAAAGGGAUUAGAUACCCGGGUAGUC